AUAACUUGUAUUAUACUACUUGUAAUGCUUGUAGUCUGGAACAUAUGAUAAUUGAAGCAAAUAAGUUUUAAUUAACAUUUAAUAAAGUAAAGUUAGAACAAUUACAAUAUUAUGAUUCUUGUAGAAAUAUUGAAUUACUGUCAUUUGUAUAUUUGAUAAACCAGUUGAAGUUCAUGUAAUAAUUUACCAGUUCAUAGUAAUAAUCCACUGAAUAAUCCAACUGUAUGUCUUGUAUUUUUGUGAAGAUCCAAUUGUAGCAAUCGUAGUAAAUCGUAGUAAAUUCCACGCACCUGUGCUUGAAUUUUAUGAAUGAAAUGUAUUGACAUGCGCAGUAGAACCCAUGUGUCACUUGGGACGAUUGUUCAAUAAAAACACUAUUUUUACGUGUUGGCAACUGUUUUCACAUACUUCUUGUAAUUCCUUUUAGUAUUUGUAGUCAACGUCUUCAAUGUUUUGUAGAUGUUAAUGCUCACUAUCCUUGAUAUUUAUCAUUUUGGUCCGCCGGUGACACACAUAACUUUUUGCAAUGUUGUUUACGUAUUGUGACUUCCGGUGGCGCUGUAUAUAUUGUUGUAUUUUUAGUUACUAUAGAAAUUUUUAGUACCAUGCAAACUUUGUUUAUUAUAUAAAGGUUACUAAAAUUGUAUAUUAUUGUGAUUUUUGUAAUUUAUUUAAGAAUUCAAAUAUUUAGUUGGACGGCAAGCGCGCGAUCCAACAAUCCAACGUUUUUCCAACUUUCCAACUAUCCAACAAUCCAACAAUCCAACAUUGACGUAAUUUCGACGCUUGGUCGUCAGUUCUGCUUAAACUUUUGGUUCUUACAGUUGGUAUUUUUAUUUGCUCGUUAUUUAUUUUAGUCAAAAUGGUUAAUUUUUCUUAGAAACUUCAUUUAUUUAAAGGUUAAAUUGUAAAGGAAAAUAGUAAAGUUAGCGUUUUCAAAGUUUAAAAGGAAUAUUUCAUUUUAGCGGACUCUUUAAAGCUUU
rnacentral:lncRNA from 1 species